rnacentral:rRNA from 1 species
GACGAACGCUGGCGGCGUGCUUAACACAUGCCAGUCGAACGGAAAGGCCCUGCUUUUGUGGGGUGCUCGAGUGGCGAACGGGUGAGUAACACGUGAGUAACCUGCCCUUGACUUUGGGAUAACUUCAGGAAACUGGGGCUAAUACCGGAUAGGAGCUCCUGCUGCAUGGUGGGGGUUGGAAAGUUUCGGCGGUUGGGGAUGGACUCGCGGCUUAUCAGCUUGUUGGUGGGGGAGUGGCUUACCAAGGCUUUGACGGGUAGCCGGCCUGAGAGGGUGACCGGCCACAUUGGGACUGAGAUACGGCCCAGACUCCUACGGGAGGCAGCAGUGGGGAAUAUUGCACAAUGGGCGGAAGCCUGAUGCAGCAACGCCGCGUGCGGGAUGACGGCCUUCGGGUUGUAAACCGCUUUCGCCUGUGACGAAGCGUGAGUGACGGUAAUGGGUAAAGAAGCACCGGCUAACUACGUG